rnacentral:lncRNA from 1 species
GGUUUUGCAAUCAAAAAAAUCAUACAAGGUUGUAUGAAUCUCUAAAGCAAUGAAUGACAGUCUCAUGACACGAUAGUUGCUACUUGCAGGAAAAUACUAUACCACCAUUAUAUACUUCCAUCAUGAUAAACCCUGAUGAGGUUUUAAAAAAAGACUUUACAAAUACCUGGAAACCAUCAUCAAUGUGCCAAAAGAGGAAAAGAGGACAAGCUUAUAAUUUUGGGCGACUUUAAUGCUGGAGUAGACACACAGCAUCCAACAUGACAGAGUCCUUGGGAGGAAUGAGGUUGUAAAUAUCAACAUUAAUAGCCCCUUACUGCUGAAGAUUUGUAUGUCAUGACCUUCUCAUCAUCAUCUACACCAUUGCAGGAAACAUUAGCAUUUAAUGAGCUGUGUCAUUAUUCUACUGGUUCUUUCUCUGGGAGUGAACAGCAUUUUCCAACAUGAGUUUUUUGGAACUAUCUUGAAUCAUUGUGUUGGCUAAGAAGAGUCAAGCAAAUCAUAGUUCAUCAUCACAAUGUUAUUAUUGCAUACAUUGUUCUGGUUCUGCUAACUUCAUUUUGAAUCAGUUUAUUUAAUUAGAGGAGGCUUCUAGUCCCUAAGGCUACUGGAAAUUUGAGUGAUGCAAUGGCCUCACAUUUGGACAUUUAACCUCCUUUGAUUCUUGCUUUUCUUACUGCUACUCCUGCCUUGGUCCUGGUUCCUCAAAAACAUGUUUCUUACCAGACCCAGUCAGUGCUGAUAUCAUGUCCACUACAUCGGAUUACACCAUUGUCUGAAUUUGGUUCACUUUACCUCCAGGCUGACCAAAUGGCUUACUUUAAACAUCAGAUCAUCACUAUUAAGUCCUCUCCUCAUCACUUGAAUGAUCGCUCCCAAUUAACAGACUCUGGGCUUCAGGAAAAAGCUGUGCCCCUUGUGAGUAAGAAGAAGACAAAUAAAUUAUCCCAGCAAACCAACCCUGAAAAACAUUCUGGUUUGCUCUUCAGGAGUAGGACUCCACGCAGUGGAAUUCUGUAUCCUAGGGAUCACCAGGCCAACAUAGUAACCUUAAGGCCUUAUAGCAGUAAGACCAGGGCCAGAGAUGGGCCAGCAAUCUCCAAUCGCAAGACGGAGCCAAAUCCCAGUCCCUCAAAAGCAUGGAAGGUAACAUCAGAGUUACGAGGUAAAAAGCUGAGCAGGGCCACAGUUACAACAGCACAUUAUCCUGAUCCUAGCUCCAAGACCACAACUAAGAGACAAGCAUCAGCUGCUAGGAACCAAGCGUGGAAGAAGUUGCAUUCUGAACAGCAAGGGAAACAAAAUUUGGGUUCCAAUGAGCAAGCCAAACUCAAAGUUGCUUCCCAGCACCAGCCUAACAGCCCUAAUGAGUCGUCCACACAUCUACUCAAUAGAUUCCAAAAAAUAACACCACCAGGUCCUGAAACCAAGACAAAAAAACAAUUAAUUAAGAGAAGUUGGACAAAGUUUUUCCAUGAUUACAAUAACCAGACCAUGAUUCCUUUGAGACACCAAUGUCAGACAGAGUUUGCCCUGGGCCUUGUCUCUGAUGAUUUACUUCCACUGAACCGCACCUAUAUAAAAUCUGAGGGACCCUUGAGCAUAUGCAUGGUCUGUGGAUGUCAAAAAACAUUUAAGCCUUAUAUUGUUCCCCGAGCCAAGACUCCACCUUGUCAGGUCUGUUCAUCCAGAUCUCAAUCAAGGAAGACUCAGUCGCGCCCUGAUGCCAGUACCCCAAUGUCUCUACCAAUGCUCGAACCCCGCUCAAGGGUUCCACUUCAUCCCAAGGUUCAAGACAUACCAGUCCCCAAAAAGCUUGCUUUACCUUUAACUGACACUCCAAAAAGACGUUAUUACCAGACUAAGGCUACACAGAUCUCUGACUACCAAAAUGAAGAACAAGACCAGGUCCAAACUAAGCAGAAGAGAAGUGCAUCCAGAUAUUUAUUUAAUAUCAAACCUUAUACAAUCGAGGGGCAAACUCACAAUACAAAAUUUGUUGAUGACAUCAUAAGCCCCUUCCCCAGGGAAAAACCAAAAAGUAAUUUCUCUAAUGAGGUUCGCGUGUGGCAGAUGAAAGACUAUCCCAGACGUACCCACUGGACUAAUCGAUAUCUGUCUGCUAAUGAUAACUCUGGGUUAGCUUGCUCAUGGCUUCCAAAGAAUUCUUAUCGUGUUGACAGAAAGAUCACUGUACCAACAUCUUUGCCUAGUCCACAGAAGAAACGUGUCAAAUUUCUUGUUGAAAUGCCCCAGUCAAAGAACUACCCCAGUCUGGAGAAUCAAAGUAUCUUUUCUUCUAAACGCAGGCUCUUAUACCCUACACCAGUCUUUCCCUUGUGCUCUUACUCAGAGACUGUACCCCUGGCUCCAUUAAAACCCAAACUCACUUGGCUUGACUUCAUACGUUACAAAUAUCGCCAGCGAAAUGAGGAGAGAGCAUCUCCAAGUCAAAAGUUGUAUGAGAGAGAAAUGCCCUAUACAAGCAGGAACAGCAUAAGAGAGAUGUCAGUGAGACAAAAUCCAUGUCAUAUUUCUCUGUUAAAGAAAUUUGAAAGUAGGAUAAACAAUUAAAACACAAUUUUUUUCUUUUGUAUAUCACUUGAUCCCUUGUAUGUUGUUGUCUCUUAAGCUUGGGCCUGAACUUAUGUAUUAUUUGAAAUAUGGAGUCAGCACAGCUUGCUUUUCCUUGGGGUUGAUAAGAGAAACCAAUUAUAGAUCCUCUUAGUCAAUAAGUAUAUUGAUAUUUACUAUGCGUCAUUCACUGUGCUAAGUGUUAGCAAUACAAAGUCAAUCAGUAAUUAGCAUUCAUUAAGCAUAACUUGUUUUCCAAGGACUUAUUAAGUACUGGAUUUCUAAAAAAAAAAAAAAAGUUUCUGUUCUUAAAGAACUUACAGUCUAAUGAGGCA